rnacentral:lncRNA from 1 species
AGAAGUCCUUGUGCCCUUGAAUAAACAGUUUCUAUUUUAUGCAGGACCAGGCUUGGACUAUUAUGAAUGUUGCUGAACACUGUUAAUCAAGCUUACACAGCUAUUUUGAUGGCAAACAAUUAGAACUCUGAAGCAAUACCUUGCAAUUAGCUUCAGGGAUAUGGACCUCAGCACCGUAAUAAUGAAAGAGACCUUCUCCUUCAAGCAAGAGGAAUCUUACUUCCCUGCUGCGAUUUGGGCUGCACUGAAAAUCAUAAAGCACCAGCCAACUCUGAAUUCCCUUGAAGACUUGCUGUAUUUGCAUAAAAAACAAAAUCUUUUUGUUUAUAUUGUACCUCUACAUUUUUUUUUGCACAAGAGUUUACUGGAGCCUGAUCUCAUGUCAAAUUUCAAAGCACAAUGACUCUGAAGAAGGAAGGGAAGUGCAUUUUUCUUCACAUUCCUGAAAUGU